UCCUACGGGAGGCAGCAGUGGGGAAUUUUUCGCAAUGGGGGCAACCCUGACGAAGCAAUGCCGCGUGAAUGAAGAAGGCCUUCGGGUUGUAAAGUUCUUUCGUGGAGGACGAAAAGGUGGGUGCUAAUAUCGCCUGCUGUUGACGUGAAUCCAAGAAGAAGCACCGGCUAACUCCGUGCCAGCAGCCGCGGUAAUACGGGGGGUGCAAGCGUUAAUCGGAAUCACUGGGCGUAAAGGGUGCGUAGGCGGUGCAUUAGGUCUGUCGUGAAAUCCCCGGGCUCAACCUGGGAAUGGCGGUGGAAACCGGUGUACUAGAGUAUGGGAGAGGGUGGUGGAAUUCCAGGUGUAGCGGUGAAAUGCGUAGAGAUCUGGAGGAACAUCAGUGGCGAAGGCGGCCACCUGGCCCAAUACUGACGCUGAGGCACGAAAGCGUGGGGAGCAAACAGGAUUAGAUACCCUGGUAGUCCACGCCCUAAACGAUGAAUACUAGAUGUUUGGUGCCAAGCGUACUGAGUGUCGUAGCUAACGCGAUAAGUAUUCCGCCU
rnacentral:rRNA from 1 species